AAUGAACGCUGGCGGCAGGCCUAACACAUGCAAGUCGAGCGAGCAUUUCGGUGCUAGCGGCGGACGGGUGAGUAACGCGUGGGAACGUGCCCUUUUCUGCGGAAUAGUCCUGGGAAACUGGGGGUAAUACCGCAUACGCCCUUUUGGGGAAAGAUUUAUCGUAGAAGGAUCGGCCCGCGUUGGAUUAGGUAGUUGGUGUGGUAAUGGCCCACCAAGCCGACGAUCCAUAGCUGGUUUGAGAGGAUGAUCAGCCACACUGGGGCUGAGACACGGCCCAGACUCCUACGGGAGGCAGCAGUGGGGAAUCUUAGACAAUGGGGGCAACCCUGAUCUAGCCAUGCCGCGUGAGUGAUGAAGGCCUUAGGGUUGUAAAGCUCUUUCAGCUGGGAAGAUAAUGACGGUACCAGCAGAAGAAGCCCCGGCUAACUCCGUG
rnacentral:rRNA from 1 species